GGACUCUGUAGCUCAGUUGGUUAGAGCUUGACAACUGUCUCUCUGUAGCUCAGUUGGUUAGAGCUCGACAACUGUCUCUCUGUAGCUCAGUUGAUUAGAGCUUGACAACUGUCUCUCUGUUGCUCAGUUGGUUAGAGCUUGACAACUGUCUCUCUGUAGCUCAGUUGGUUAGAGCUUGACAACUGUCUCUCUGUAGCUCAGUUGGUUAGAGCUUGACAACUGUCUCUCUGUAGCUCAGUUGGUUAGAGCUUGACAACUGGCCUCUGUAGCUCAGUUGGUUAGAGCUUGACAACUGGCCUCUGUAGCUCAGUUGGUUAGAGCUUGACAACUGGCUUCUGUAGCUCAGUUGGUUAGAGCUUGACAACUGGCCUCUGUAGCUCAGUUGGUUAGAGCUUGACAACUGGCCUCUGUAGCUCAGUUGGUUAGAGCUUGACAACUGGCCUCUGUAGCUCAGUUGGUUAGAGCUCGACAACUGUCUCUCUGUAGCUCAGUUGGUUAGAGCUCGACAACUGUCUCUCUGUAGCUCAGUUGGUUAGAGCUUGACAACUGUCU